rnacentral:rRNA from 1 species
UACGUAGGGUGCGAGCGUUGUCCGGAAUUACUGGGCGUAAAGAGCUCGUAGGUGGUUUGUCGCGUUGUUCGUGAAAUCUCACGGCUUAACUGUGAGCGUGCGGGCGAUACGGGCAGACUGGAGUACUGCAGGGGAGACUGGAAUUCCUGGUGUAGCGGUGGAAUGCGCAGAUAUCAGGAGGAACACCGGUGGCGAAGGCGGGUCUCUGGGCCUGUCCUGACGCUCAGGCGCGAAAGCUAGGGGAGCAAACAGG